AGGAAGUAAAAGUCGUAACAAGGUUUCCGUAGGUGAACCUGCGGAAGGAUCAUACCUAGAGUUGCGGGCUUUGCCUGCCAUCUCUUACCCAUGUCUUUUGAGUACCUUCGUUUCCUCGGCGGGUUCGCCCGCCGAUUGGACAAAACUUAAACCCUUUGUAAUUGAAAUCAGCGUCUGAAAAAAACAUAAUAGUUACAACUUUCAACAACGGAUCUCUUGGUUCUGGCAUCGAUGAAGAACGCAGCGAAAUGCGAUAAGUAGUGUGAAUUGCAGAAUUCAGUGAAUCAUCGAAUCUUUGAACGCACAUUGCGCCCCUUGGUAUUCCAUGGGGCAUGCCUGUUCGAGCGUCAUUUGUACCUUCAAGCUCUGCUUGGUGUUGGGUGUUUGUCUCGCCUCUGCGCGCAGACUCGCCUCAAAACGAUUGGCAGCCGGCGUAUUGAUUUCGGAGCGCAGUACAUCUCGCGCUUUGCACUCACAACGACGACGUCCAAAAAGUACAUUUUUACACUCUUGACCUCGGAUCAGGUAGGGAUACCCGCUGAACUUAAGCAUAUC
rnacentral:rRNA from 1 species